rnacentral:rRNA from 1 species
CUGGCUCAGGAUUAACGCUGGCGGCGUGCCUAAUACAUGCAAGUCGAAUGGUAGCAAUACCAUGGCGAACGGGUGAGUAACACGUAGGUAACCUGUCUUUAAGCCGAGGAUAACCAUUGGAAACGAUGGAUAAUACUGGAUAGGACAUUUGAAGGCAUCUUUAGAUGUUUAAAGAUUUAUCACUUAGGAGAGGGGCCUGCGGCGCAUUAGCUAGUUGGUGAGGUGAAGGCUUACCAAGGCGAUGAUGCGUAGCCGGACUGAGAGGUUGAACGGCCACAAUGGAACUGAGAACGGUCCAUACUCCUACGGGAGGCAGCAGUAGGGAAUUUUCGGCAAUGGGCGGAAGCCUGAACCCGAGCAACGCCGCGUGAACGAAGAAGUAUUUCGGUAUGUAAAGUUCUUUUAUUAGGGACGAAAAGACAGAUUGACGGUACCUAAUGAAUAAGCUCCGGCUAACUACGUGCCAGCAGCAGC